GACGUAGGGGGCGAGCGUUGUCCGGAUUUAUUGGGCGUAAAGCGCGCGUAGGCGGCCGCGCAAGUCGGAUGUGAAAACCCGGGGCUCAACCCCGGGCGUGCAUUCGAUACUGCGCGGCUCGAGACAGGUAGGGGAGAGUCGGAAUUCCUGGUGUAGCGGUGAAAUGCGCAGAUAUCAGGAGGAACACCGGUGGCGAAGGCGGAUCUCUGGGCCUGUUCUGACGCUGAGGCGCGAAAGCUAGGGGAGCGAACAGG
rnacentral:rRNA from 1 species